rnacentral:tRNA from 1 species
GCCGGCGUAGCUCAGCCUGGUAGAGCACUCGCCUCGUAAGCGAGGGAUCGUGGGUCCAAUUCCCACCGCCGGCU